rnacentral:rRNA from 1 species
UAGGUCAUUGUGUGCAGCAGCCGCGGUCAUACGUAGGGGGCAAGCGUUAUCCGGAAUUACUGGGUGUAAAGGGUGCGUAGGUGGUAUGGCAAGUCAGAAGUGAAAACCCAGGGCUUAACUCUGGGACUGCUUUUGAAACUGUCAGACUAGAGUGCAGGAGAGGUAAGCGGAAUUCCUAGUGUAGCGGUGAAAUGCGUAGAUAUUAGGAGGAACAUCAGUGGCGAAGGCGGCUUACUGGACUGAAACUGACACUGAGGCACGAAAGCGUGGGGAGCAAACAGG